rnacentral:lncRNA from 1 species
GGAGAUAUCUACUGCCUGAGCCAAGCGGUAGAGGGUAGGAAGAAUAGUGUGUGGUAUGAGUGUACAGUUGGGCAAGAUAAUUUUUAAGUACAUCUUAAAGGCACAUAAGUAGGAUUUCAAUAGACUUGCCUAGAGGGAUUCUAGAUGAAGGAAAGAGCAUAAGCAAAGACAGAAAUGGGAAGGGCCUGACCUUGGACUUCUAGAGGGCUAACUUGGAGAUGGGAAGGAGGAGUUGGUGCUGGAAGCUUGAGAAAGAAUCUAAAGGGAAUUGACUCCAGCUAUAUUGCUACUGUGGGUGUGGAAAGCAUCUGCUCAAACAUGACCAUCUGCUUGGAAAAUUCAUUUAAAGUAAAGGUCUUCCAUACAUCUAAUGGCUUCUUUCCAAGGGAGCUGUCUUCCAAGCAACGACCUAGAGAUCCAGGGUGCUUCCACUUUUGUGCUCCGUCAUCUCAGCACAAUGCUGCCAGGUCACUGUAGCAGGAAAAGAAAGGGAUGGAUUUUCAUGCAGUGACUUCUUACUGCCUUGGGCAGGAAAUGACUCAGGUGAAGAAACAGAAGCAUGGAGAUUGAGUGACUUGACCAGUCAGAGUUAGAGAAGAGAUUGGAAUUCAGACCCAGGUCUCCCAUAGUCACCUGCCAGAAAUCAUUCUUCAUUCCAUGGAAAAUGGAGAAUUGGUGAUUUGCAAUUCUGUUAAGAACGAUUGGGAAAUCACGCACUUCCAAAGUCAUUGGAAGCCUCUGAAUUACCAUCCUUAAGGAAUAAAUCUU